rnacentral:rRNA from 1 species
CCUAAGGUAGCGAAAUUCCUUGUCGGGUAAGUUCCGACCUGCACGAAUGGCGUAAUGAUGGCCAGGCUGUCUCCACCCGAGACUCAGUGAAAUUGAACUCGCUGUGAAGAUGCAGUGUACCCGCGGCAAGACGGAAAGACCCCGUGAACCUUUACUAUAGCUUGACACUGAACAUUGAGCCUUGAUGUGUAGGAUAGGUGGGAGGCUUUGAAGUGUGGACGCCAGUCUGCAUGGAGCCGACCUUGAAAUACCACCCUUUAAUGUUUGAUGUUCUAACGUUGGCCCGUUAUCCGGGUUGCGGACAGUGUCUGGUGGGUAGUUUGACUGGGGCGGUCUCCUCCUAAAGAGUAACGGAGGAGCACGAAGGUUGGCUAAUCCUGGUCGGACAUCAGGAGGUUAGUGCAAUGGCAUAAGCCAGCUUGACUGCGAGCGUGACGGCGCGAGCAGGUGCGAAAGCAGGUCAUAGUGAUCCGGUGGUUCUGAAUGGAAGGGCCAUCGCUCAACGGAUAAAAGGUACUCCGGGGAUAACAGGCUGAUACCGCCCAAGAGUUCAUAUCGACGGCGGUGUUUGGCACCUCGAUGUCGGCUCAUCACAUCCUGGGGCUGAAGUAGGUCCCAAGGGUAUGGCUGUUCGCCAUUUAAAGUGGUACGCGAGCUGGGUUUAGAACGUCGUGAGACAGUUCGGUCCCUAUCUGCCGUGGGCGCUGGAGAACUGAGGGGGGCUGCUCCUAGUACGAGAGGACCGGAGUGGACGCAUCACUGGUGUUCGGGUUGUCAUGCCAAUGGCACUGCCCGGUAGCUAAAUGCGGAAGAGAUAAGUGCUGAAAGCAUCUAAGCACGAAACUUGCCCCGAGAUGAGUUCUCCCUGACUCCCUGAGAGUCCUGAAGGAACGUUGAAGACGACGACGUUGAUAGGCCGGGUGUGUAAGCGCAGCGAUGCGUUGAGCUAACCGGUACUAAUGAACCGUGAGGCUUAACCUU